ACGGAGGGUGCGAGCGUUGUCCGGAAUCACUGGGCGUAAAGGGCGCGUAGGCGGCCCGGUAAGUAGGGGGUGAAAUCUUGCGGCUUAACCGCAAGGCUGCCUUCUAGACUGCCAGGCUCGAGCACAGUAGAGGCAGGUGGAAUUCCCGGUGUAGCGGUGGAAUGCGUAGAGAUCGGGAAGAACAUCAGUGGCGAAGGCGGCCUGCUGGACUGUAGCUGACGCUGAGGCGCGACAGCGUGGGGAGCAAACAGGAUUAGAUACCCUGGUAGUCCACGCCGUAAACGAUGGGCACUAGGCGUCGGGGGGAGCGACCCUCCCGGUGCCGUCGCUAACGCAGUAAGUGCCCCGCCUGGGGAGUACGGCCGCAAGGCUG
rnacentral:rRNA from 1 species